UACGAAGGGGGCUAGCGUUGCUCGGAAUCACUGGGCGUAAAGGGCGCGUAGGCGGCCGAUUAAGUCAGGGGUGAAAUCCUGGAGCUCAACUCCAGAACUGCCUUUGAUACUGAGGAUCUUGAGUUCGGGAGAGGUGAGUGGAACUGCGAGUGUAGAGGUGAAAUUCGUAGAUAUUCGCAAGAACACCAGUGGCGAAGGCGGCUCACUGGCCCGAUACUGACGCUGAGGCACGAAAGCGUGGGGAGCAAACAGGG
rnacentral:rRNA from 1 species